rnacentral:rRNA from 1 species
GACGAACGCUGGCGGCGUGCUUAACACAUGCAAGUCGAACGGAAAGGCCCUGCUUUUGUGGGGUGCUCGAGUGGCGAACGGGUGAGGAACACGUGAGUAACCUGCCCUUGACUUUGGGAUAACUUCAGGAAACUGGGGCUAAUACCGGAUAGGAGCUCCUGCUGCGUGGUGGGGGUUGGAAAGUUUCGGCGGUUGGGGAUGGACUCGCGGCUUAUCAGCUUGUUGGUGGGGUAGUGGCUUACCAAGGCUUUGACGGGUAGGCGGCCUGAGAGGGUGACCGGCCACAUUGGGACUGAGGUACGGCCCAGACUCCUACGGGAGGCAGCAGUGGGGAAUAUUGCACAAUGGGCGGAAGCCUGAUGCAGCAACGCCGCGUGCGGGAUGACGGCCUUCGGGUUGUAAACCGCUUUCGCCUGUGACGAAGCGUGAGUGACGGUAAUGGGUAAAGAAGCACCGGCUAACUACGUG